rnacentral:tRNA from 1 species
UCCCUGGUGGCUCAGAAGGUAAAGCGUCUGCCUGCAAUACAGGAAACCCGGGUUUGAUUCCUGAGUCGGGAA